rnacentral:sRNA from 1 species
AACGGGAGGGAUAUACUACGCAGGCUUGAAAGUAAGUUUGAUAUUUAUGCACAUUGUUUCGAUGUUCCAUAGCAGUACCUCGUCUUGUAGAUCAUAAGUAAUUGCAACACGCUUCAGCACACAACUCGCCUCAAUUUGAGGCAAAUUACUAAAUUUAUAGGAAAAAAUAUGUCUACUACUACUGGUACAGUUAAAUGGUUCAACGAGUCUAAAGGUUUCGGUUUCAUUCAACAAGAGAAUGGCCCUGACGUUUUCGCUCAUUUCCGUGCUAUUACUGGAACUGGCUUCAAAACUUUGACUGAAGGUCAAAAAGUUGAGUUCACUGUAACUCAAGGCCAAAAAGGUCCUCAAGCAGAGAAUAUCGUAGUUCUUUAAUUUUUAGAUAAAUUAAAGUAUUACCAAAAAAGCAAACUUCGGUUUGCUUUUUUUAU